rfam:Ictidomys tridecemlineatus contig014038, whole genome shotgun sequence.
GGGGUUGUGGCUCAGUGGUAGAGUGCUUGCCUAGCAUACAUGAGGCAUUGGGUUCAAUCCUCAGCACCA